CCUACGGGGUGCAGCAGUAGGGAAUCUUUCACAAUGGGCGAAAGCCUGAUGGAGCAACGCCGCGUGCAGGAUGAAGGCCUUCGGGUUGUAAACUGCUUUUCUCAGGGACGAAGCAAGUGACGGUACCUGAGGAAUAAGCCACGGCUAACUACGUGCCAGCAGCGGCGGUAAUACGUAGGUGGCAAGCGUUAUCCGGAUUUACUGGGUGUAAAGGGCUUGUAGGCGGGAAAGCAAGUCUGAUGUGAAAACCAUGGGCUCAACCUGUGGCCUGCAUUUGAAACUGUUUUUAUUGAGUACUGGAGAGGCAGACGGAACGCCUAGUGUAGCGGUGAACUUCGUAGAUAUUAGGAGGAACUCCAGUGGCGCAGGCGGUCUGCUGGACAGCAACUGACGCUGAGGCGCGAAAGCGUGGGGAGCAAACAGGAUUAGAUACCCCUGUAGUC
rnacentral:rRNA from 1 species